UGAUGAUAGUGAGGUCAAUUUCUGAGCAUAGCCUUGAAUCUUUCUCAAGCUUGGUAAAGAUUCUAUCCAUUUUUCUUUCUAAAACUUAGAAUCUCAAUUCUUAAAUG